CAACGUGGGUAACCUGCCCUGAUGAUUGGGACAACCCGAGGAAACUCGGGCUAAUACCAAAUGUGACCUCCGGCCAUAAGGCCGCUGGGGAAAGGAAGCUUCGGCCUCCGCAUCGGGAUGGGCCCGCGGCCCAUUAGCUUGUUGGUGAGGUAAUGGCUCACCAAGGCUACGAUGGGUAGCUGGUCUGAGAGGACGAUCAGCCACACUGGGACUGAGACACGGCCCAG
rnacentral:rRNA from 1 species